rnacentral:lncRNA from 1 species
AGUUACACAAGUGUCUGACCUUUAUGAGUAUCCACAUGGAGUCGGAGGGCUGAUCUGAAAUGAUCUGAUUCUCUGGGGUGCUAGCUCCCGUGCGGAACUCUUGCUUGAUGGAAGAUCCUUCUCGACUUUUUAAGAAAUAUAGCAGGCCUGGAGCUUCUUCAAGAACUCCUUUGCUGAAAUCUGAUUUCCGCAACACUUAAAAAAAAGAGAGGCCCUAGGGCAUGGAGA